UCCCGAGCGCUAUUUCGGGUGGCAGAGGGGAGAGGCUGCCAGGCUGGCAUCCAUCCCCUCCUGUUUCCCUUGUGGAAAUCCCUCGUGGCUGCACAGGACAGGCUCUGGAGCUCUGCGAGCUGUCUGAAGGGAUGUCACGGAGCGCUCUGGUACGCGGAUGUGCUACGAGCCAUCCAUCAUUCACCCGCGGGAGGAAAGCCAGAGGAAGGGAAACUAAAACGUGAAUCUGAUCCUUUGGUGAGAAAUGAAGGACCCAUUAACCAUGUCUAAACUGAUCAUGCACCACAGAAAACCAGAAGCCCUUGGAGGCAAUUUGAAGUCCCCACUCAACAAACUGAAACUUUAGAACUGGCAAAGGAAUGAAGGAGUGAAACAUCCCAAAUGCCCAAUCAGUCAGUUUUAUUAUCAUAUUGUGUGUGGUCUCUGUGAAAAUCUGGCCACAUCUCACAAACUCUGAGACCAUCAAAAAGAUGUUGCAUGUGCAUACCCCAUAAUAAAGCCAUUAGAAAUUCAAGAGGAGUUUUCUAGUGUGAGUCAUGAUACUCAGGAAGAGAUGAGGCAGGGCAGCCAAUUCACUUUUAAACAGCAGUGUGAGCAUAGUGCAAAUUCAGCAAAUCCAGACAACCUGGAUAUCACACACAGUGUUUUAUUUACAGCCUCAGAAAUGCCUAAAUCCCAACCAAGCUGCAAAUCUAACUCCCUGCACUGAUAUGGAGGUAGGAGGGAGGGUGCAGAUGCAAGCAACAGCUUCAAUGAUUUAUCUUAGCACCCACCUAACCCUCCAGUAAACCUGGAGAGAGGAGGACCAAGGGUUGUGAGGCAAAGGAGCGAGAGCAUGGAUGAACUGGGUCUCAGUAACUGCACAGAGAAGCCUUGGUGAGACCUUAAAGACAUCUUGGGAAAGAGAUCAAUUUCAGGUACAGCACUAAUCUUCUAUUUUCUUAGUUCACACUUUUUUAAUCUCAAGGAUAUUUUGGCUUUUUUAGUAGGGAACAAGUUAUAACAGAGCAGCACUGCAAACACUCUUGGGGUGCCCAUGAACCAGAACAGGUUUGGGAAUCUGCAGCUCAAGACCCACAGCUGUCCUUCAGGGAGCUGCAAAAAGGAAAGUCACCCCGCCAGAUGUUAGCUACAGCCUUCCAGCAAGGCCACCCAUUAAUAUUAAGAAACAGCCACUUUAUGAAGAACAAACCAACCAGGAAUUCAGCAGAGCAGAAGAGUGCAGGGCCAAGAUGCAGAGGACAUUGGGUAUGUGCUUCAGAUAGAGCCAACAUGAGACAGACAGGAGCCUGAAGCAGCCCUUCCUUCCCAACCAUGGCAGUAUUCUCUUAGCUCAGUUGCCCUGCCUG